AAACAGUCAAAUAAAAUCAGCUCAAUUAUAACCCACAAUUUAGAAGUACAGCAUAAACAGAGUGGAGAAAUAAUAACUAAAUAAGGCAGAAAUAAUGAGUUUCAGCUGCGCUUCUCGUUCCGCCGCAUCCACACAUGCCCACAAGAUGGCAGCAAACAUGGACUGUUUGAGGGAUUUACUUUUCACCUGCCUCUCCAUGGAGACGGCUGACCCCGGCGUGACCCCGCGGCCGGCAAACAGCCUCACCUGAUAAAAGCUGACCUGCAGCCAACACCUGAGUCAUUAGACGCGGCGUGCACUCCAAGCGGAGGGCUGCGGGUAAAUACUGGGUGCUAUAAAGCCCGGCUCGUUUAAUGAAAAGGAGGUUCGGCCCAAAUCACUUCCUGAUAAGUAAAUCCCUGACUUUUCUGGUGCUUGUUCAAUAAAUAACAUGCAAUAAUGCUGAAAGCAGGGAGCAAA